rnacentral:lncRNA from 1 species
UCACAUACACAAAUACACACACACGCAAUAAAUCACAAACACUUACAAUUACAGACGCACAUUCACACACACACACAAUAAAUCACGAACGCACACAAUUACACAUACAGACUUACAUUCACACACACACACUCACUCACUCAUUCACUCACACACGCACAAUAAAACACAAACUCACACAAUUACACAUACAGACUCACACACUCACUCACUCACUCAUUCACACACACACACACACAAUAAAUCACGAACGCACCCAAUUACACAUACAGACUCACACUCACACACUCACACACUAACUCACUCACUCACUCAUUCACACACACACACACACACACACACACACACACACACACACACACACACACACACACACACACACACAAUAAAUCACGAAGGCACACAAUUACACAUACAGACUCACAUUCACACACUCACACACUCACUCACUCACUCAUUCGCGCACACACACAAAAAAUCACAAACACACACACAAUUACACAUACAGACUCACAUUCACACACACUCACUCACUCACUCACUCAAAAACACACACACACUCACAAAAUAAAUCACAAACGCAAACACUCACUCAGACACACAUAUACUUAUACAUACUCAAUCACAUACACACACACUCACACAAUAAAUCACAAACGCACACAAUCACACAUACAGACUCACAUUCACACACACACACUCACUCACUCAGACACACACCUAUACAUAUUCACUCAAUCACAUACACAAAUACGCACGCACACACACGCGUGUGUGUGUGUGUGUGUGUGUGUGUGUGUGUGUGUGUGUGUGUGUGUGUGUGUGUGUGUGUGUGUGUGUGUGUGUGUGUGUGUGUGUGUGUGUGUGUGUGUAGAUCUUCUGGAAGGUGGACUGACGUCAGGACGAGCCGCUCAUGUUUUAAGAACACACAGAUCAGAAAACACAGAAUUCUGCAGUCAGACAGCUGUAAAUGAAGACGCUCAGAGAAUCACCCUCAGCGCUGCUCAUUUCAACAUGGUCCUCUAUGGCCUUCCGCAUGUCGUGGUGACGUGAACGCAAGCUUUAUUUCUCUUCCUGCUAAUAAACUCUUAUUAAUGCCUCAUGAAUAAUAUUUAACAGGGCAUCUUUAUUUGGCUUCUGAUCUUUCACUUGGAAAAGUCUGAUUUUACAAAUAUUGCUGAAGUUCUCAUCAGGUUAGCCGUAACAAUCAUACCUGUCAACAUUGGGGUGUGAAAAUAAGAGAUAUAUACCAUUUCUGUGUGGAGUUUGCAUGUUCUCCCUGCAUUCGUGUUGGUUUCCUCCAAGUGCUCCAGCCUGAUCUCACGAGAAAACGUAUUUUACGUUUUGGCAGUUUAGUGGCUAUUUAGACCGAAUUUGUAUGAGUUCAGUCGUAAGAAAUUGUACGAUUUUAAAUAGUAGGCAUGACACCUAACCCCACCCCUAAACACUUAUAGGGUACUUAUGAUUGCUAGCAGCUGACUCGCAUUAUCCAAUUCACUACGAUCCAAUCAGAUGACUCCUAAACUACUAUAAAUACCCUGGGGUUUAUUCCCCCCUUCCUCCCCUACGCCUCCUUCUUAGACGGGUGACACGGUGGCCCAGUGCCUAGCACUGUCGCCUCACAGCAAGAAUGUCUCUGGUUCCUGGCUUUACCAAAACUAGCAGACAUUUCUGUGCGGAGUUUUGCACUUCUUCCCGUGCUCACGUGGGUUUCCCCCGGGUUCCCCGGUUUCCUCCCACCGCCUAAAAACAUGCAAUUAAGUUAAUUGAACAAUCCAAAUUGUCAAUAUAGACACACUUCUAGUUAGUAAUUAGUUUCAAGAGCAUUCACUUGCUACAGCAGGGGAGUUCUCGAGAUCUACCUGAGCUCAAACUCCCCUCCCUGGGCUCGAGGAUCUCAUGAGCUCAGGGCUCUCUUCCGGGACAGCAUGCCAAACAAGCUUUAUAAUUAAUCAUCAGCUAAGUGUGAACUCUUGAAAUUUUAUUUCUGAAUGUUUUCUAAACAUUCAUUCAUUUUCCUUCAGCUUAGUCCCUUUAUUUAUCAGGGAUCAACACAGUGGGGUGAACCAUCAACUAUUCCAGCAUAGCUUUUAUGCAGCGGAUGCCUUUCCGACUGCAACACAGUACUGGGAAACACCCAUACACAAUCAUUCAAAGACACACUCAUACACUACGGCUCAUGUAGUUCAUCAAUUCCCCUAUAGCGCAUGUGUUUGGACUGUGGGGGAAAUCGGAGCACCCGGGAGGAAACCCACGCCAACACAGGGAGAACAUGCAAACUCCACAUAGAAACACUAACUGACCCAGCCAAGACUCGAACCAGAGACCUUCUUGCUGUAAUGUUUUUCCAGGAUUCACAGUUAAAAGCGGCUCCUGCAGAGAUGUUGUGUAAGAGUGUAAGUGUCUGCACUGUCAGGUUUGAUGAGUGUAAUCAGCAUCUUUAAUAAAGUGUUUUCAGAAACGUCAGUCUUUUGAACAGUAGUGUACCUCGCCUGUCGUGUCUGACAUCAAAUGUGUUUAUUCCUCCGUCUAGAACGAUCACUUCACAUUAAUGGAUGGAUGAUUUGCUUAUUCUACUUUGUAAAUCUGUUUGUUGGCAUCUUAGCUCGUGUUUACCCAAGUUUUCCACAUUUCCCCGUGCUGACUGACGCUUUUCUUCAUGUCUUCUGACAGUAAACGCUUCACUCUGACUCUCAACAUGCCAUUAAUGCGCUGAUCUGGAGUCUCUGGACCGCAUUUGAUAAGUUUCCUCAAUCCUGCGGUAAUAAAGCAGACUCAAACUCUCCUGGUUGAACUGAGAUGUGGUUUAGGCUGCAGUAAAGCUCCAUUCUGAGGUCAGAUCAGCUAUACUGGAUGCUGUUCAGCAGACUUGAUGAAAUGAGCAGUGUUUGUGCUUGUACACUUCAGCCAGUCAGAUGUAGAUCACAUUAAUGGAGAGAUGAGUUAACUGUGCAUGCUGAUUAAACACUGAUGUGAUGCUGGCUUAGUGACUGCUAGAGGAUAACACGCUUCAGUCUCUGUCCCAUUAUUACAGUUUCAAAAUUUUAUUAAUUUUAGUUAUUCACUUAUUCAUCCAUCUAUCCAUCCAUCCACCCAUUAAUUAUUAAUUAAUUUAUUCAUUUAUCUGUCCUGUGAUCAUCUAUCCAUCCACCCACCCACCAAUCUAUUCAUUCAUUCAUCCAUCUAUUCAUUCAUUCAUUCAUUCAUUCAUUCAUUUAUUCAUUCGUCUGUCUUGUAAUCAUUUAUUCAUUCAUUCUUUCAUUCAUCCAUCCUUUCAUCCACCCACCUAUCUUUUCAUUCAUUCAUUCAUCUAUUCAUCCAUUCAAUUGUUUUUCAUUCUAUUUAUCUGUCAGUUUUUCUAUCAUCCACUUAUUCAUCCAUCUAUCCAUCCAUCCAUUCAUCCACCCAUUCAUUCAUUCAUUCAUUCAUUCAUUCAUUCAUUCAUUCAUUCAUUCAUUCAUUCAUCUAUCCGUCCAUUUAAUUGUUGUUCAUUCUAUUCAUUUUAUUUCUCUUCAUCUGUCUGUUUUUCAUCCAUCAAUUCAUUCAUUCAUUCAUUCAUUCAUCCAAUUGUUGUGUAUUCUGUUCUUUUAUCUGUCGGUUUUUUCCGUCAUCCACCUGUACAUCCCGCCAAGCCUGGAUGUAUGUGUCUUUGUCUACAUGUGUUUAUGGGUGUGUGUGCGCGCGUGCAUGUGUGCGUGUGUGUGUGUGUGUGUGUUUCUCUGAGCAGCAUCACAGGUAAAGUUCACAAAUAACUGAUUGAUUAAGUUCUCAGACAGAAAUGUGCUUUAACAGAGUGUUCAGCUUCAGGAAAGGCUCCAGUCCAGUUCAGCUGCUGAACUCAGGUCAGUCCCUGCAGUGUGAUUUGGUUGGAAACAGCAGAAUGUCCAGCAUCUGAAGCGGUGAAACAAUCUGGAUCUGUGCACGAGUUUCAUUCUUCCACACAGAUUGAAAACACAGAGAUGAAGACUGAGAAGAUGAUGAUGAUGAUUUCACAGAAGUGUGGAGGAAAAACAACAACACUGCAGCAGGUGAAGCUCAACAUCAACACAACCAGUGAC